AGCGUACACGGUGGAUGCCCUGGCAGUCAGAGGCGAUGAAGGACGUGCUAAUCUGCGAAAAGCGUCGGUAAGGUGAUAUGAACCGUUAUAACCGGCGAUGUCCGAAUGGGGAAACCCAGUGCAAUUCGUUGCACUAUCGUUAACUGAAUACAUAGGUUAACGAGGCGAACCGGGGGAACUGAAACAUCUAAGUACCCCGAGGAAAAGAAAUCAACCGAGAUUCCCCCAGUAGCGGCGAGCGAACGGGGAGCAGCCCAGAGUCUGAAUCAGCUUGUGUGUUAGUGGAACGGUCUGGAAAGUCCGACGGUACAGGGUGAUAGUCCCGUACACCAAAAUGCACAGGCUGUGAACUCGAAGAGUAGGGCGGGACACGUGGUAUCCUGUCUGAAUAUGGGGGGACCAUCCUCCAAGGCUAAAUACUCCUGACUGACCGAUAGUGAACCAGUACCGUGAGGGAAAGGCGAAAAGAACCCCGGCGAGGGGAGUGAAAAAGAACCUGAAACCGUGUACGUACAAGCAGUGGGAGCACCUUCGGGUGUGACUGCGUACCUUUUGUAUAAUGGGUCAGCGACUUAUAUUCUGUAGCAAGGUUAACCGUAUAGGGGAGCCGCAGGGAAACCGAGUCUUAACUGGGCGUUAAGUUGCAGGGUAUAGACCCGAAACCCGGUGAUCUAGCCAUGGGCAGGUUGAAGGUUGGGUAACACUAACUGGAGGACCGAACCGACUAAUGUUGAAAAAUUAGCGGAUGACUUGUGGCUGGGGGUGAAAGGCCAAUCAAACCGGGAGAUAGCUGGUUCUCCCCGAAAGCUAUUUAGGUAGCGCCUCGUGAAUUCAUCUUCGGGGGUAGAGCACUGUUUCGGCUAGGGGGUCAUCCCGACUUACCAACCCGAUGCAAACUACGAAUACCGAAGAAUGUUAUCACGGGAGACACACGGCGGGUGCUAACGUCCGUCGUGAAGAGGGAAACAACCCAGACCGCCAGCUAAGGUCCCAAAGUCAUGGUUAAGUGGGAAACGAUGUGGGAAGGCACAGACAGCCAGGAUGUUGGCUUAGAAGCAGCCAUCAUUUAAAGAAAGCGUAAUAGCUCACUGGUCGAGUCGGCCUGCGCGGAAGAUGUAACGGGGCUAAACCAUGCACCGAAGCUGCGGCAGCGACGCUUAUGCGUUGUUGGGUAGGGGAGCGUUCUGUAAGCCUGCGAAGGUGGCCUGUGAGGGCUGCUGGAGGUAUCAGAAGUGCGAAUGCUGACAUAAGUAACGAUAAAGCGGGUGAAAAGCCCGCUCGCCGGAAGACCAAGGGUUCCUGUCCAACGUUAAUCGGGGCAGGGUGAGUCGACCCCUAAGGCGAGGCCGAAAGGCGUAGUCGAUGGGAAACAGGUUAAUAUUCCUGUACUUGGUGUUACUGCGAAGGGGGGACGGAGAAGGCUAUGUUAGCCGGGCGACGGUUGUCCCGGUUUAAGCAUGUAGGCGGAGGUUCCAGGUAAAUCCGGUACCUUUUAACGCUGAGGUGUGAUGACGAGGCACUACGGUGCUGAAGUAACAAAUGCCCUGCUUCCAGGAAAAGCCUCUAAGCAUCAGGUAACAUUAAAUCGUACCCCAAACCGACACAGGUGGUCAGGUAGAGAAUACCAAGGCGCUUGAGAGAACUCGGGUGAAGGAACUAGGCAAAAUGGUGCCGUAACUUCGGGAGAAGGCACGCUGGUGUGUAGGUGAAGUCCCUGCGGAUGGAGCUGAGACCAGUCGAAGAUACCAGCUGGCUGCAACUGUUUAUUAAAAACACAGCACUGUGCAAACACGAAAGUGGACGUAUACGGUGUGACGCCUGCCCGGUGCCGGAAGGUUAAUUGAUGGGGUUAUCCGUAAGGAGAAGCUCUUGAUCGAAGCCCCGGUAAACGGCGGCCGUAACUAUAACGGUCCUAAGGUAGCGAAAUUCCUUGUCGGGUAAGUUCCGACCUGCACGAAUGGCGUAAUGAUGGCCAGGCUGUCUCCACCCGAGACUCAGUGAAAUUGAACUCGCUGUGAAGAUGCAGUGUACCCGCGGCAAGACGGAAAGACCCCGUGAACCUUUACUAUAGCUUGACACUGAACAUUGAGCCUUGAUGUGUAGGAUAGGUGGGAGGCUUUGAAGCGUGGACGCCAGUCUGCGUGGAGCCAACCUUGAAAUACCACCCUUUAAUGUUUGAUGUUCUAACGUUGGCCCCUUAUCGGGGUUGCGGACAGUGUCUGGUGGGUAGUUUGACUGGGGCGGUCUCCUCCCAAAGAGUAACGGAGGAGCACGAAGGUUAGCUAAUCCUGGUCGGACAUCAGGAGGUUAGUGCAAUGGCAUAAGCUAGCUUGACUGCGAGCGUGACGGCGCGAGCAGGUGCGAAAGCAGGUCAUAGUGAUCCGGUGGUUCUGAAUGGAAGGGCCAUCGCUCAACGGAUAAAAGGUACUCCGGGGAUAACAGGCUGAUACCGCCCAAGAGUUCAUAUCGACGGCGGUGUUUGGCACCUCGAUGUCGGCUCAUCACAUCCUGGGGCUGAAGUAGGUCCCAAGGGUAUGGCUGUUCGCCAUUUAAAGUGGUACGCGAGCUGGGUUUAGAACGUCGUGAGACAGUUCGGUCCCUAUCUGCCGUGGGCGCUGGAGAAUUGAGGGGGGCUGCUCCUAGUACGAGAGGACCGGAGUGGACGCAUCACUGGUGUUCGGGUUGUCAUGCCAAUGGCACUGCCCGGUAGCUAAAUGCGGAAGAGAUAAGUGCUGAAAGCAUCUAAGCACGAAACUUGCCCCGAGAUGAGUUCU
rnacentral:rRNA from 1 species